rnacentral:rRNA from 1 species
GACGAACGCUGGCGGCGUGCCUAAUACAUGCAAGUCGAGCGGAUCUUCAUUAGCUUGCUUUUGAAGAUCAGCGGCGGACGGGUGAGUAACACGUGGGCAACCUGCCUGUAAGACUGGGAUAACUUCGGGAAACCGGAGCUAAUACCGGAUAAUCCUUUUCCUCUCAUGAGGAAAAGCUGAAAGACGGUUUCGGCUGUCACUUACAGAUGGGCCCGCGGCGCAUUAGCUAGUUGGUGAGGUAACGGCUCACCAAGGCGACGAUGCGUAGCCGACCUGAGAGGGUGAUCGGCCACACUGGGACUGAGACACGGCCCAGACUCCUACGGGAGGCAGCAGUAGGGAAUCUUCCGCAAUGGACGAAAGUCUGACGGAGCAACGCCGCGUGAGCGAUGAAGGCCUUCGGGUCGUAAAGCUCUGUUGUCAGGGAAGAACAAGUACCGGAGUAACUGCCGGUACCUUGACGGUACCUGACCAGAAAGCCACGGCUAACUACGUGCCAGCAGCCGCGGUAAGAC